GAUGAACGCUGGCGGCGUGCCUAAUACAUGCCAGUCGAGCGAACAGACGAGGAGCUUGCUCCUCUGACGUUAGCGGCGGACGGGUGAGUAACACGUGGAUAACCUACCUAUAAGACUGGGAUAACUUCGGGAAACCGGAGCUAAUACCGGAUAAUAUAUUGAACCGCAUGGUUCAAUAGUGAAAGACGGUUUUGCUGUCACUUAUAGAUGGAUCCGCGCCGCAUUAGCUAGUUGGUAAGGUAACGGCUACCAAGGCAACGAUGCGUAGCCGACCUGAGAGGGUGAUCGGCCACACUGGAACUGAGACACGGUCCAGACUCCUACGGGAGGCAGCAGUAGGGAAUCUUCCGCAAUGGGCGAAAGCCUGACGGAGCAACGCCGCGUGAGUGAUGAAGGUCUUCGGAUCGUAAAACUCUGUUAUUAGGGAAGAACAAAUGUGUAAGUAACUAUGCACGUCUUGACGGUACCUAAUCAGAAAGCCACGGCUAACUACGUG
rnacentral:rRNA from 1 species